CGGGUGAUAGAUCAGUGGUAGAGCAUCUGCUUUGCAUGUAGAAGGUCCUAGGUUCAGGUUUCCUGCUGAACUGG